rfam:Lupinus angustifolius cultivar Tanjil chromosome LG03, whole genome shotgun sequence.
AUUGAUGAGGAAAUGUUUCCCUUUGGUUUUCUUCAUCGAAAAGUAACUGUUUUUUAUUGGGAAUAUGGUCAUUGUGUUGUAAUUGAGUAGCGGCCAGACAACCGUAAGGAUGGUAUCCACAAAUGGUCGGUUUUUCCGCUCUCAUUCGUCUACUAAUUCCAUCUCACAUUU